UACGUAGGGUGCAAGCGUUUGUCCGGAAUUAUUGGGCGUAAAGAGCUCGUAGGCGGUCUGUCACGUCGGCUGUGAAAUCCCGAGGCUCAACCUCGGGUCUGCAGUCGAUACGGGCAAACUAGAGUAUUGCAGGGGAGACUGGAAUUCCUGGUGUAGCGGUGAAAUGCGCAGAUAUCAGGAGGAACACCGGUGGCGAAGGCGGGUCUCUGGGCAAUAACUGACGCUGAGGAGCGAAAGCUAGGGGAGCAAACGGG
rnacentral:rRNA from 1 species